CUGCAAAUUAUUCUUGCUGUUCUGAUUUUGUGACAAUCAGUUCAAUGUUUGCUAUAUUAAGACCAUGCAUGUGUUCCCAGACCUAAUUCUUUCCCUAGGUCUGAUUUUAUCAACUGCUGGUGAUACAA